CGCCGGCACCACCUCGGCAGAGCGGGCUGUGCUAAGUGUUCACGUGCACUGGCAGGAGCAGUUGACGGACUCGUGGAUUCCACAGCCCGCCAAAGGCCGACACAACCGUCUGAAAAGGACAGGCUUUCUCAAUGCUGAGGAAAUAAUCUAUGCCAGAAGCCGCAGGUUUAAGUCAGCUCUAAAUCUGGCCUGAUUCUCAGAAUUCCCAUCAUUGCUAUGGGACUUCUGAUCAGCCAACAGGACCAAAAAAUAUCAAUUUCAGGAACCUAGGAAAUUUAAACAAUUGCUGGUGCUGAGAAUCAGCAGAUUCAGGGGGAAACAGCAACAACAUCAAUAACAACCUGAAAAACGGGCCGGCAGGCUCAGAGGCCCUCUGGAGGUGGUGACUUUUGGACUUUCACUUGAAUCCCUACUGUGUCCUGCCAUCUUUUCCCUUACAUUCUCCAUCCUGGGUUCUGCAGUUAAGGUCUGGAAUUGAGGGCUGUUCUGAGCAUAAGACCUGGGCUGAGAAGAGAUGCGAUACAUUUGUUUUCUCCCGUGUCUGAAAGAAGAGAAACCCAAAUUCAGCCAAGUGGAUAACUCUUCUGAGGCUAAAAAAGAAAAGUGUGUUUGUGACACAUGCAUCCUCUGAGAUAUUAUGUUGUGACCUACUGUGUGUUGUG